GUGCAUGCUUCAGCAUCACAUAUACUAAAAUUAGAAUGAUACAAAGAUUAUUAGCAUAGCUCCUGUGCAAGGAGAAUGUGAGAAACUGAAAUCUUCCUCUGCUUCUA